GAGGGUAUAGCUUAGUGGUAGACACGUGCUUAGUGUGCACGAGGUCCUGGGUUCAAUCCCCAGUACCUCCA
rnacentral:tRNA from 1 species